AUGGCUGAACAUAGCUCGUUCUGGCCGUGUAAUGGGUACAGGGUAUUUAAAGCAGCUGCUGCUGCUGGCAAAGUUUUGGCCCGCAAGUUGGGCCAAAAAGUUGGCAGCUUAACUUGGCCAAUCCAAUUGCCACCUGCCUUGCCGCCGGCAGUGGGCCGCUUAAUCAAUUUGAAGUGCAACGCCAGCUGCAGUUGCUGGGAUGUAUUCUGGCAGCAUCUGUUGCCCCACACACACAUACCAUAUAUAGUUAUCUACUUGUCGCACAUUUCGUGGCUCAAGUGGCAGCUGCCUCGCAUAAUACAGCCGAUUGCAGCCGUUUGCCCGGACCAGACCCGUUUGAUUGACAGCUGUCAAUUUGCAUUGCCAGUCAAGCGCAGCAUUUGCGGCCACCCACACACACACACAGCCACACACACACACACACACACACGCCGAAUCCAUAAAGUUGCUGAGUUGGAAGUUGAUGAAGUUAUGCAAAUGUGCGCAAAAGACGAAAGUAGUUAACUGCAAAGUGAAGACUGCGGCAGAGACCAGGCAACAGCAAUCGGAAAGCUUUCAUCGCAGGCGCCAAAGCUGAAGGGAAACGAGGGCAAACAAAAAGCAUUAAAUUAAUAUUGAUGGAGGUAACCCUGGGUCUGCUGCUCGCUGGCAUUGGCUAUCAUCGUGAGAACUUUCGAAACUAUCUAAUGGUUGAACAUGGGACCACGAUCGGCGAGCUUGAGGAUUUCUUCCACAUCUUAUACAAACGCCCCAAUAUCGGCAUCAUUCUGCUCGACUAUCCCACGGCGAAGCGUUUGAAUCCUGUUUUGGACAAGUGCAAAAAAAUGCUGCCCGUUGUGGUCAUACUUCCGACAAAGGCCUCGAUAAUACCCUAUAUGGAGGAGAAGGAUCGCCAGCGUCGCCAACGGCAAAGAGAUGCCUAUACAAAGGACCCAAAAGCAUAUCGAUGUUUAAGCAACAAAAUUGGAGCAAAAGGUAAUUUUUUGAGAUUCGUCCAAUAUAUUAUCGAUGCUGAAGAUGAAAAAGAGUCGUGAAUUCGCUUUACUUUUUCAAAAUGGUUGUAUUGGCAAUCAGCCACCGACGAAGCAGCUACGUGAUCGCUCUUAAAAGAUCAUAUGGACGCCAUGGAUCUGUGUGACAAGGCAAAAAUACAAAACAUACAUCCCCAAAUGAUCGAUUUUCAAAGCAGGACUUGAUUAACUGAGAUGAUGAAUCAAAUUUGUCCGGAAAGUCGUCACUUUCUAGAAAUACUAUACCAUAAAUAACAUACUAAACCUAAGUGUCUGAGCUGUAAAUAGGAAGUCGAAGAAACAAUACGCAAUGUUUUUAUUGUAAACAUUAAUUAG